UGAGACUGACUGGUCCUGUUUAUACUCAACCAAUCACAUUACAGUGAGACUGACUGGUCCUGUUUAUACUCAACCAAUCAGUCUACUCUCAGUAGAUUGGCCUGCACUCUAUCAUGUGGUGUGGGACACCCAAAGAGGUGAUCGAUAAAACACUUUGUAGUUCCCUGUGGGCUUGGCCAAACAGACUGUAUUUUCACAUCAGCACCCCGAGCAGCACAGUCAGUGCCUGGGACAAAGCUGCCUUCUGCUGGGUACAAUAGAACAACACACUAAGGCCUCUGUCUCUGUUCCAUCUAUUGCUAAGCAGGAGCCUUGUGCUCUGUUGAUGUUGAUACACACUAUUGCCCAAUUGUCUGUUUCUCAACAGAAUUCUGACGUACAGUGAGCUCCAAAUGUACAGUGGCACCUUUUUUGUUGAACUGGCUCUGUACUCCAGCUUUAAAUGAUACAAUAAAUAUGAGCUUUAAAUGCAAACUGUCAGCUUUAAUUUUAGGCGAUUUUUCAUCCAUAUCAGGUGAACCGUUCAGAAAUUACAGCUCUUUUUGUACAUAGUCCCCCAUAUAUGUGUAUUAAAGUUGUCGAAAGUUUAGUAUUUGGUCCCAUAUUUCUAGCGUGCAAUGAUUACAUCAACCCACCUCUAGCACGCGCUCCAGCAGGUAUAUCUCACUGGUCAUCCCCAAAGCCAACGCCGCCUUUCCUUCCAGUUCUCUGCUGCCAGUGCCUGGAACGAAUUGCAAAAAUUGCUGAAGCUGGAGACUUAUAUUUCCCUCACUAACUUUAAACAUCAGCUAUCUGAGCAGCUAACCGAUCGCUGCAGCUGUACAUAGUCCAUCUGUAAAUAGCCCACCCAAUCCACAGACUACAAAUGUCGGUGAUGUUUGUGUCCAGUAUGAAGGAAGUUAAAGUUAGUUGUUGGUGACCUGCAGCGAUACAGACGAAGAGUACCUGCUGUCCCGAAGGCUUCUGCCCUACGACCUUGGCUACGGUGCUAACAGUCAGAGUGAAGCAGAGACAGAUCAGACUCCAGAUCAUGUUGUAGUUGAGGGAAGCAGCACAACGGACAAAGAACCGACCAGAUUCUCCACAGAGGAGUUUCCCGUUUCAACUACCGACAAGCGUGUCCUUUACAGGAUCUAUAAAGAGGAAACCAACGAGCAGAGAACAAUCCUCAGAAUCGUAAAUGCUCUUACCACUCUGGAGGACUUCAAGAGACUAUCCCUUUGGUGUCUGAGGGUGUGAGUACAAUUCUAAUACAUGUGAUGUCUUGCUCAACAUGUGGCAGUAACUUACAGUAACUGGUAACACUAGUAUUACUGUGUUGAUUUCACAAUUUGAUGCUCACUGUCUUCUAAUUAUCUACAGUCUAUACACCAGGUUAGCCCAGCUAGUAGCAGACGCCAGGUUAGCCCAGCUAAUAGCAGACGCCAGGUUAGCCCAGCUAGUAACAGACGCCAGGUUAGCCCAGCUAAUAGCAGACGCCAGGUUAGCCCAGCUAAUAGCAGACGCCAGGUUAGCCCAGCUAGUAGCAGACGCCAGGUUAGCCCAGCUAGUAGCAGACGCCAGGUUAGCCCAUCUAGUAGCAGACGCCAGGUUAGCCCAGCUAGUAGCAGACGCCAGGUUAGCCCAGCUAGUAACAGACGCCAGGUUAGCCCAGCUAGUAGCAGACACCAGGUUAGCCCAGCUAAUAGCAGAAAUGGAGACCAAUGAUGUAAGUAUACAAAUGUAGUAAUUAAUGUUAUGUCUGUAACAGAAACAUCUCCCCUCGUACACAUUGUAUUAACAGUGUGACUUUAUUUCUCUCAAUAGGUGAAAGCUCUUGUCGUGUGUCAUAUCCUAGACUAACAGCAGACAUGUCCAUGAACGUGUCCUGUCUUGUUACCUGACGGUAUGGUUUUUUAAAUAUUUAUUUUAACUAGGCAAGUCAGUUAAGAACAAAUUAUUAUUUUCAAUGACAGCCUAUCCCGGCCAAACGUGUGCCACCCUAUGGGACUCCUAAUCACGGCCGGAUGUGAUACAGUGGAUUUGAACCAGGGACUGUAGUGAGGCCUCUUGCACUGAGAUGCAGAAGUGCCUUAGACCACCUCGCCACUCGGGAGCCUAUGCAGAAGUGCAGACUGACUGAACUUAAAUAAUAAAAUAAAAAAAUUAAAUGACUGCUCUCUUGGUUCAUAUGCAUUCAUUUAAUUGCGAAAGUACUUGAAUCCUUAUAAACUCUAAACCAAAACAGGAUGUUCAGAUAAACGGC
rnacentral:lncRNA from 1 species